rnacentral:rRNA from 1 species
UGGGGAAUAUUGCACAAUGGGCGCAAGCCUGAUGCAGCCAUGCCGCGUGUAUGAAGAAGGCCUUCGGGUUGUAAAGUACUUUCAGCGGGGAGGAAGGUGUUGUGGUUAAUAACCUCAGCAAUUGACGUUACCCGCAGAAGAAGCACCGGCUAACUCCGUGCCAGCAGCCGCGGUAAUACGGAGGGUGCAAGCGUUAAUCGGAAUUACUGGGCGUAAAGCGCACGCAGGCGGUCGGUCAAGUCGGAUGUGAAAUCCCCGGGCUCAACCUGGGAACUGCAUCCGAAACUGGCAGGCUUGAGUCUUGUAGAGGGGGGUAGAAUUCCAGGUGUAGCGGUGAAAUGCGUAGAGAUCUGGAGGAAUACCGGUGGCGAAGGCGGCCCCCUGGACAAAGACUGACGCUCAGGUGCGAAAGCGUGGGGAGCAAACA